rnacentral:rRNA from 1 species
CCUACGGGAGGCAGCAGUGGGGAAUAUUGGACAAUGGGCGAAAGCCUGAUCCAGCAAUGCCGCGUGAGUGAUGAAGGCCUUAGGGUUGUAAAGCUCUUUUACCAGGGAUGAUAAUGACAGUACCUGGAGAAUAAGCUCCGGCUAACUCCGUGCCAGCAGCCGCGGUAAUACGGAGGGAGCUAGCGUUGUUCGGAAUUACUGGGCGUAAAGAGUACGUAGGCGGUUAUUCAAGUCAGAGGUGAAAGCCCGGGGCUCAACCCCGGAACUGCCUUUGAAACUAGAUAGCUAGAGUCUUGGAGAGGUUAGUGGAAUUCCGAGUGUAGAGGUGAAAUUCGUAGAUAUUCGGAAGAACACCAGUGGCGAAGGCGACUAACUGGACAAGUACUGACGCUGAGGUACGAAAGCGUGGGGAGCAAACAGGAUUAGAUACCCUGGUAGUCCACGCCGUAAACGAUGAUAACUAGUUGUUCGGGCACUUGGUGCCUGGAGUAGACGCGACGACUACGACUAUUAAGUUACUCCGUCCGUCGGGUAGGUACGGUCGCGAGAAUUAAACUAACAAUAGUAUAGACGGCGUGAGACGACGACCGACGACGACGACGAGGGAGUAGG